rnacentral:rRNA from 1 species
CGGCGGCCAUAGCGAGAGGGAAACGCCCGGUCACAUUCCGAACCCGGAAGCUAAGACUCUCUGCGCCGAUGGUACUGCAAGGGGGACCUUGUGGGAGAGUAGGACACCGCCGGACU